UACGAGGGGUGCAAGCGUUGCUCGGAAUUAUUGGGCGUAAAGGGUAGGUAGGUGGUCUCAUUUGUCUGGGGUGAAAGCCUUGAGCUUAACUCAAGAAGUGCCCUAGAAACGGUGAGACUGGAGUCUUGGACAGGGUCGUGGAAUUCCCCGUGUAGCGGUGAAAUGCGUAGAGAUCGGGAGGAACACCAGCGGCGAAGGCGGCGACCUGGACAAGUACUGACACUCAACUACGAAAGCGUGGGUAGCAAACAGG
rnacentral:rRNA from 1 species